GUGCUCAGUGCACUGCCCACCUUCGCCCUGACGGUGCUGCGCGCGCCAAAGAAGUUCCUGAAUGAGGUCGACAGGGUGCGGCGGCGCUUCCUGUGGGCACAAGAUGAAGAGCUCAGCGGAGGUAAAUGCAAGGUCAGCUGGCCCGUGGUGUGCACUCCGAUCGAUCAUGGAGGUCUCGGAAUCCUGGACAUGUCACGCUUCAGCAGAGCGCUCAGACUGCGCUGGCUUUGGCUGUCCUGGACAUGCCCGAACAGGCCGUGGAUUGGAAUGCAGCUGCCAUGCGACGACGGAGACAGGGCCCUC
rnacentral:rRNA from 1 species